rnacentral:lncRNA from 1 species
UCGAAAAUUUGCCCUUUUUGAUGAGCAACACCGAGAAGAGAUGAGAAAAGAACGGCGGAGGAUUCAGGAGCAACUGAGGAGACUUAAACGAAACCAGGAAAAGGAGAAACUGAAGGGUCCUCCUGAGAAAAAGCCCAAAAAGAUGAAGGAACGUCCUGACUUAAAACUAAAAUGUGGAGCAUGUGGUGCAAUUGGACACAUGAGGACAAAUAAAUUCUGCCCUCUUUAUUAUCAAACAAAUGCACCACCUUCUAAUCCUGUUGCAAUGACAGAGGAACAGGAAGAAGAGCUGGAAAAGACAGUCAUUCACAAUGAUAAUGAAGAACUUAUCAAGGUCGAAGGGACCAAGAUCGUUUUGGGAAAACAGCUAAUUGAGAGGUAAGGGAUACCAGGCAGGGAGUGCUGUAGCAAAGACCUGUUCAAGGUUGAUGAUUAUGGCUGGCAGGGCUAAAUGUGGUGUGAUUGUUCUUUGAAGUGGAACUGGGGGUUGUAGGAACUUUGAAUUAUCACAAGUAAUUUUUGCUGGUAAUGAAAACCUAAUGAUUGGGGCUUACUACUUGCCUUUGUACAUACUAUUUUUUCUGACUCAGUAUUUUUCUUCUGGUUUUGUUUGGUUGGUUUUGUUUUGUUUUCUUUUGUUUCAAAACAGAGAUUCUACAUAACCCUAACUAUCUUGGAACUCACUCUGUAGACCAGGCUGGCCGUGAACUCAGAGAUCCUCCUGCCUCUUCCUCUGGAGUGCUGGGAUUAAAGGCUUUUGCCACCAAGCCACGAUAAGUCUUAAUAUUUAUACAAAUACCCUUACUGGAGUAGUUUUUUGUUCUGUUUUGGUUUGCUUGUUUUUGUGGUACUGGUAGGCACAGUAGGAAAGUAAGUGUUCUAUCACUGAGCUACAUUCUCAAAUUCUUGCACUUUUUUUUUAAGGUUUUGCUAAAUUAGCCAUGUUAACCUCAAACUGAAUCUUUCUUUCUCAGCCUCCCACAUAGCUAGGAUUAUAGGCAUGGAACACCAUACCUUGCACAUGAGGGUAGUUAAGAUUAAAUGAGAGACUAUAAAGCAAAGUAUACUUAUGCCCAAUCUUCUUGCCCUUAGAAUUUAGUGAAUGGAGAUGUUUGGGACUGGAGAGAUGCUUCAGUAGUUAAGAGCACUGGCUGUUUUUCUAAAGGACCCAGGUUUAAUUCCUAGCAUCCACAUGGCAG